rnacentral:rRNA from 1 species
GAUGAACGCUAGCGGCAGGCUUAAUACAUGCAAGUUGAGGGGCAGCAUGAUAUACGCGAGUAUAUUGAUGGCGACCGGCGGACGGGUGAGUAAUAGGUAGGAGACCUACCUCAUACAGGGGGAUAGCAUAGAGAAAUCUGUGGUAAUACCCCAUGAGGUUAUAUGAAUAGAGGCAUAUAAUCAAAGCAUAAGCGAUUAUGCGGUAUGAGAGGGGCCUACUGACCAUUAGCUAGUUGGUGAGGUAAGGGCUCACCAAGGCGAAGAUGGUUAGGGGUUUUGAGAGAGAGACCCCCCACAUUGGAACUGAGAGACGGUCCAGACUCCUACGGGAGGCAGCAGUAGGGAAUAUUGGGCAAUGGGCAAAGCCUGACCCAGCCAUGCCGCGUGAAGGAAGACGGCCUUAUGGGUUGUAAACUUCUUUACUACGCGAAUAGAGGUUAGUACGAGAUACUAAUAGGAAGGUAGUGUAAGUAAAAGCACCGGCUAACUCCGUG